rnacentral:rRNA from 1 species
GCGGAAGCCUGAUGCAGCAACGCCGCGUGCGGGAUGACGGCCUUCGGGUUGUAAACCGCCUUCACCCAUGACGAAGCGCGAGUGACGGUAGUGGGGGAAGAAGCACCGGCCAACUACGUGCCAGCAGCCGCGGUGAUACGUAGGGUGCGAGCGUUGUCCGGAAUUAUUGGGCGUAAAGAGCUUGUAGGCGGUUGAUCGCGUCGAUAGUGAAAUCCCGGGGCUCAACCUCGGGCUUGCUGUCGAUACGGGUUGACUUGAGGAAGGUAGGGGAGAAUGGAACUCCCGGUGGAGCGGUGGAAUGCGCAGAUAUCGGGAAGAACACCGGUGGCGAAGGCGGUUCUCUGGACCUUUCCUGACGCUGAGAAGCGAAAGCGUGGGGAGCAAACAGGCUUAGAUACCCUGGUAGUCCACGCUGUAAACGGUGGGUACUAGGUGUGGGUCGCAUUCCACGUGAUCCGUGCCGUAGCCAACGCAUUAAGUACCCCGCCUGGGGGAGUACGGCCGCAAGGCUAAAACUCAAAGGAAUUGACGGGGGCCCGCACAAGCGGCGGAGCAUGCGGAU